rnacentral:rRNA from 1 species
GAUAUAAUCAGCACUUUCAACUAUGAUCUGAAGUAGGUGGGAUUACCCGCUGAACUUAAGCAUAUCAAUAAGCGGAGGAACUGAAUUAUUCACCCUUGUCUUUUGCGUACUUCUUGUUUCCUUGGUGGGUUCGCCCACCACUAGGACAAACAUAAACCUUUUGUAAUUGCAAUCAGCGUCAGUAACAAAUUAAUAAUUACAACUUUCAACAACGGAUCUCUUGGUUCUGGCAUCGAUGAAGAACGCAGCGAAAUGCGAUAAGUAGUGUGAAUUGCAGAAUUCAGUGAAUCAUCGAAUCUUUGAACGCACAUUGCGCCCUUUGGUAUUCCAAAGGGCAUGCCUGUUCGAGCGUCAUUUGUACCCUCAAGCUUUGCUUGGUGUUGGGCGUCUUGUCUCUAGCUUUGCUGGAGACUCGCCUUAAAGUAAUUGGCAGCCGGCCUACUGGUUUCGGAGCGCAGCACAAGUCGCACUCUCUAUCAGCAAAGGUCUAGCAUCCAUUAAGCCUUUUUUUCAACUUUUGACCUCGGAUCAGGUAGGGAUACCCGCUGAACUUAAGCAUA